rnacentral:lncRNA from 10 species
AAAUCACUAAGCCUCUAGAGCAAUCCUGCAAAAUUUCAGAAAGUCUCGCACUCCUGGCUGCUUGUGGCCUCCUUCCCUGCCUCCUUUCAUUUUCUUUCCUGUGUUGAUUCCUCAUUCCCAGGAACUGACCCCCACUGCCUCAUCCUGUAGUAGAUGGAGAGGCUCUGAGGCCGUGGACAGGCGUGGGCCACGCAGACAUCCACUGCAGGAGAAACCAGGUUACAAUUCUCCCACCCUGAGCCACCCAGGUGAGCUCCCAGGAGCAUCAAGCUCAGUCAUCCUCUGUGUCCGAAGAAAUAGAGGCUGAGGUGGGGCUGCACUGGGGGCAAGAGGCCCAAUCAUUGCCUUCCAGUGGCCUCCAGCCCAGUCGAGAAUCUGACUUGAACUUAACACAGACAUUUCCUUCUUGAAAGAAAAGGUCACUCUAUCGGUCUGAUUCUUUCUGUUAUUUCCAACAGGGGAAUUUCAGUGCCAGGAAUGUGACAGCAGGCUCCAAAUCGGCAAAGACUUUGAGCACCAUGUGACCUUUGCUUUCUCUCCUGUUCAAGCCACCUACGAAUGCUGGGGUGGGAGAAGGGCUGUGACCUCAAUGCAAGCCCCCUGGUGACACCAUCCCUCCAUUCCUGGAUGUGCUCAGCAACCCUGUGCAGUGCAGCUGCGUGGAGGAGGGUCAACAAGGAGCAAACAGACAGCGGAUGUCAGAGCACUUUGUGAACCACACAAGUGUGAAGUGGCUGCGGUGGCCUUGCCGGCAGCUGUGGGGAAGAAAGCAUUUGGGCCGCAGACUCCAGCAGACCCAGGUUCAAAUCCCUGCAUCUCCACAUACUGGCUGGGUGGCCUUGGACAGGUCACUUCACUCCUGGGAGUUUCCGUUCCUCUCGGCUGUGACAUGGGUGUCGGCAUGACUGUCCUUGGGAAAUGCAGCAGUCAGCGUCCAACCAGGAAGAGGCAGCGUCCAACCAGGAAGAGGUAUCUAUUCCGAGGUUAAGACAGUGGGGCUGUAAAUGGAGGAACAGCUUACCCAGGCGACACAAGGGCUGAGAUGCCAAGCAAAGGGCAGGGGGGCCCUUGGAGAUGAGCAGGGGCAGAAGGACACCAGCCUGGGGCCAGAGGAGAUGAGAGGAGCCCCAGUCACUGGAGUCCAGGGACCAGAAAGUUGUAGAGUAAGUGGGGACCUGUGUGGGCCUGUUCAGAGGGAGUAAGGGCAUUGAUCUGAAAGCAAACAGGGCUAAAACCAGGACUGAAAUCCAGGCCACUCGUUCUCUCCUCAACACCCAUCCAUACCCUUCUACUGCCACUUAACCCUCACACAGCUUUGCCUGACAUGGACAAGUUUCCAGCAUAGGCCAAACCCAGCCACAGCGUCGGGGAGCAGGAGCCGUCCAAUGUCCCACAGGGCAGCUCCCAGGCUGGGCUGGUGACAGGAGAGGAGCUUGGAGGGGCGCAUUGUGUCUGGGAGAAGGCACAGUGGGGCUGGAACCCUCCAGGUUCCCUGGCUCUGUACUGGUUUGCACCUGGGAGGCCCAGCCCUGGCUCAAGGACCACGAAGGUGAAAUCAGAUGAGUUGGAUCCAGCUCCUGGGCCGGGUGGGGGCUAGUGAAAUCAGGACCCCUCUCGGCCUAGCUGCUGGACCAGCUCUUCCUCAAGUGCAGGAAUACAUUAGAAGCGGCCUCCAGAUGCCACAGAUGCUUUCAAACACAUCUAUUUCAGUCCUGGGAUUACUGUUUUAAAUUUCUGAGAUGCCGGAGAAGCAAGAGCCGCCCUGACCACGUGCUGCUGCCUCCCGCCUGUCUCCCGGAACCUUCCUCCCAUGGCUGCCCCUCCAGGACGAGGGCAGUGGGGGCAGCCCCACACUGCGCAGCUCGCAGCCUGGUGCUUGGACCCCGGCCAGCCCGGAGCCAGGAUAACGAGGCAGCUCUCCUCCCAGCAUUUGAGCCAAUUAAAAAGACAAAUGACCGCAGGCUUAUCUUCCCUCCUCCUCAGCCCCUCUCUUCCUUUCCAUUCCCACCCCGACAGGGAAAUGGCCUGGGGACCUCAGGGCUUUGGGCCUCGGCUGCUCUUCUCUGGAACAGCCAGGCUGCUCCACCCUGCCUGGGCCUUUCAAGGCUGCUGAUGGAUGGGGCUUCUCCAGCCUCCUCUCAGAGCUUCUGAGUGUUCCGAGACCUCGGACUAGAAGGGAGGACAACGGGAGGGAUGGGGCGGAUUGGGAGAAAGUGAAGCAGAAAGGCCACAGGCUCAAAGACUUUUGUAAAAAAUGUCAAAAGCCUUGGAGCUUGUUUUUCAGCUCUGGCCUUGGGGCCCAGAGCUUUAGCAGAAGGCUCUGAUUCUGAGGGCCAUUUGCUUCAUGUAACCCGGUGGUUAGCGCAGCUGGAUCCCAUGUCUUGGAGGAGGGCCAGCUGCAGCUGGAGGAGCUCUGAGACCCAAAGCAAGUUCCUGGGGUCCUCCAAGCCUGCACCCGAGUUUGUCCAUGCCUGUCAUGGGAUGGUUGACAAGUGUGAAUGCCUGUGAGUACCUGGCACAGCACCAGGCACAGACAGGCAAGCUGCUAAUGUUUGUCAGUUCCCUUCCUCGUGGCAACCUCGAGACACUGAUUCCAAUUUCUCCACGGCUCACAGCUUCGCCUCCCACCAUAACUUAUUUACAGGUCUUACAGGUUUCAUCAACAGAAUGUUUAUCCUUAAAUCUAACUGAAGAAAACAAACAAACACUUCUGUUCUCAUCGCUCCCUGAUAAAAUCCUAUGCAUCUUUCAAAACCCAGUUUGAUCGUGGCCUGUCUGGUUUUAGCUUCUCCGAGGUCCUCUCAGCACCGUAUCGCUUCCAUCCUCACCCUGUGGCAUCAUGAUUGUUCCAUUAAGUUAAUGAAUAUUAACUAUUAGGUCUGAGUAACACCCUGGUAAACAGGAUGAAGGAAAUCCCCCCUCCUGCAGUAUAUAUUCAAGAUGGAGAAAAGAGGCAUUUUAAAAAUUCUAGAAAUGAAAUUAAAAGCAGCUUGUG